AGCGAACGCUGGCGGCAGGCCUAACACAUGCAAGUCGAACGCGUGUAGCGAUACACGAGUGGCAGACGGGUGAGUAACACGUGGGAACGUGCCCUUCGGUUCGGAAUAACUCAGGGAAACUUGAGCUAAUACCGGAUACGCCCUUCCGGGAAGGAUUAUCGCCGAAGGAUCGGCCCGCGUCUGAUUAGCUAGUUGGUGAGGUAACGGCUCACCAAGGCGACGAUCAGUAGCUGGCUGAGAGGAUGAUCAGCCACACUGGGACUGAGACACGGCCCAGACUCCUACGGGAGGCAGCA
rnacentral:rRNA from 1 species